rnacentral:tRNA from 1 species
AAGAUGUUAUAAAAGACUUCUAAUCUUCCUAUAGCAGAUCAUGCUACAUCUUA